rnacentral:misc_RNA from 1 species
AGAUUUUAUCAAUGAAGUUGCUACUAUUGGGAGGAUUCACCAUACUAAUGUUGUACAGUUAAUUGGCUUUUGUGUUGAGAGAUCAAAGCAGGCUCUUAUAUAUGAAUUCAUGUCCAAUGGGUCUCUUAAUAAUUAUAUGUUUCAUAAAGAAGGAUCUAUUUCUUUGAGUUGGGAAGAACUUUAUGAGAUUUCCCUUGGAGUGGCCCAUGGCAUUGAAUAUCUACAUGAAGGUUGUGACAUGCAAAUCCUUCA